AGAGUUUGAUCCUGGCUCAGGACGAACGCUGGCGGCGUGCCUAAUACAUGCGAGUAGAACGCUGAAGAGAGGAGCUUGCUCUUCUUGGAUGAGUUGCGAACGGGUGAGUAACGCGUAGGUAACCUGCCUUGUAGCGGGGGAUAACUAUUGGAAACGAUAGCUAAUACCGCAUAACAAUGGAUGACACAUGUCAUUUAUUUGAAAGGGGCAAUUGCUCCACUACAAGAUGGACCUGCGUUGUAUUAGCUAGUAGGUGAGGUAACGGCUCACCUAGGCGACGAUACAUAGCCGACCUGAGAGGGUGAUCGGCCACACUGGGACUGAGACACGGCCCAGACUCCUACGGGAGGCAGCAGUAGGGAAUCUUCGGCAAUGGGGGCAACCCUGACCGAGCAACGCCGCGUGAGUGAAGAAGGUUUUCGGAUCGUAAAGCUCUGUUGUAAGUCAAGAACGAGUGUGAGAGUGGAAAGUUCACACUGUGACGGUAGCUUACCAGAAAGGGACGGCUAACUACGUGCCAGCAGCCGCGGU
rnacentral:rRNA from 1 species